rnacentral:rRNA from 1 species
CCUACGGGUGGCAGCAGUGAGGAAUAUUGGUCAAUGGACGAGAGUCUGAACCAGCCAAGUAGCGUGAAGGAUGACGGCCCUCUGGGUUGUAAACUGCUUUUAUAUGGGAAUAAAAUGUUCCACGUGUGCCAUUUCGUAUGUACCUUAUGAAUAAGAGUCGGCUCACCCCGUGCCAGCAGCGGCGGUAAUACGGAGGAGCCGAGCGUUAUCCGGAUUUAUUGGGUUUAAAGGGAGCGUCGGUGGAUUGUUAAGUCAGUUGUGAAAGUUUGCGGCUCAACCGUGCAAUUGCAGUUGAGACUGGCAGGCUUGAGUACAGUAGAGGUGGGCGGAAUUCGUGGUGUAGCGGUGAAAUGCGUAGAGAUCACGAGGAACUCCGAUGGCGAAGGCAGCUCACUGGAC